rnacentral:rRNA from 1 species
GACGAACGCUGGCGGCGUGCUUAACACAUGCAAGUCGAACGGAAAGGCCCUGCGCUUGGGGGGUGCUCGAGUGGCGAACGGGUGAGUAACACGCGAGUAACCUGCCCUUGACUUUGGGAUAACUUCAGGGAACUGGGGCUAAUACCGGAUAGGAGCUCCUGCUGCAUGGUGGGGGUUGGAAAGAUUCGGUGGUUGGGGAUGGACUGGCGGGUUAUGAGCUUGUUGGUGGGGUAGGUGCAUACCAAGGCUGUGACGGGUAGCCGGCCUGAGAGGGUGAACGGGGACAAUGGGACUGAGGGACGGCGCAGAAUGGUACGGGACGCAGUAGGGGGGAAUCUUGCGGAACGGGGGGGCGUGUGAUGCAGAGAUCUCGGGAGCGGGAAACUGGGUUAUGGGGGGAAAACAGAUGUGGCAGGUGAUGAAGAGGGCGUGACGGUAAUGGAUAAAGAAGCACCGGCUAACUACGUG